CAGGCGGCCGUGACCCUGCUGGAGAGCGGGGGGGAACUCCAGCCCCCCGGGGGUUCCCUGCGCCUCCUCUGCAGAGGGUCCGGGUUCACUUUUGGGGAUUAUGGAAUGUACUGGAUCCGCCAGAGACCCGGGCAGGCGCCUGAAUUCAUUGCUGGGAUCAACGCUGAUGGUGUCAACACCUUCUACGCGCUGUCAGUCAAGGGCCGGUUCACAAUCUCCAGGGACAAAGGGCAGAGCUCGGUGACGCUGACCAUGAACAGCCUCCAGGACGAGGAUUCUGGAUCCCAUUUCUGUGCCAAGCAUAUUUCUAGUGGAAAUGCUGACACUGCCGGUGCUUUUGGGCCUGUCCCCAUCCCCGUGUCCUCAGCUGUCCCCAGACCUUUUUACCCUGUGAUCACACCUGGCUAG